rnacentral:misc_RNA from 1 species
GAUGAAGAACGUAGCGAAAUGCGAUAAGUAAUGCGAAUUGCAGAUUUCAGUGAGUCAUCGAAUCUUUGAACGCACAUUGCGCCCACCAGUAUUCUGGCGGGCAUGCCUGUUCGAGCGUCAUUUCAACCAUCAAGCCCCCGGGCUUGCGUUGGGGCCCUGCGGCUGCCGCAGGCCCCGAAAAGCAGUGGCGGGCUCGCUGUCACACCGAGCGCAGUAGCGAUUCUCGCUCCGGGCGUCGGCGGCGGGCACCGGCCGUGAAACCCCCCCACAUCCACAAGGUUGACCUCGGAUCAGGUAGGAAUACCCGCUGAACUUAAGCAUAUCAAUAAGCGGAGGA